rnacentral:rRNA from 1 species
GAUGAACGCUAGCGGCAGGCUUAACACAUGCAAGUCGAGGGGCAGCGGGAGUAGCAAUACUUGCCGGCGACCGGCGCAAGGGUGCGUAACGAGUGAGCAACAUGCCCGUAUCAGGGGGAUAAUCCAGGGAAACUUGGUCUAAUACCGCAUAAUAAUCAUUUGGGGCAUCUUGGAUGAUUUAAAAUUUCGAUGGAUACGGAUUGGCUCGCGUGACAUUAGCUGGAUGGAGAGGUAACGGCUCACCAUGGCUACGAUGUCUAGGGGUACUGAGAGGAAGGUCCCCCACACUGGAACUGAGACACGGUCCAGACUCCUACGGGAGGCAGCAGUGAGGAAUAUUGGACAAUGGAUGGAAAUCUGAUCCAGCCAUGCCGCGUGCAGGGAGACGGCCCUAUGGGUUGUAAACUGCUUUUGUAUGGGAGCAAUAAGGGUUACGAGUAGCCUGAUGAGAGUACCAUACGAAUAAGGACCGGCCAACUCCGUGCCAGCCGCCGCAGUAAGAC